AUUGAACGCUGGCGGCAUGCCUUACACAUGCAAGUCGAACGGUAACAGGUCUUCGGAUGCUGACGAGUGGCGAACGGGUGAGUAAUAUAUCGGAACGUGCCCAGUCGUGGGGGAUAACGCAGCGAAAGCUGUGCUAAUACCGCAUACGAUCUACGGAUGAAAGCAGGGGACCGCAAGGCCUUGCGCGGACGGAGCGGCCGAUGGCAGAUUAGGUAGUUGGUGGGAUAAAAGCUUACCAAGCCGACGAUCUGUAGCUGGUCUGAGAGGACGACCAGCCACACUGGGACUGAGACACGGCCCAGACUCCUACGGGAGGCAGCAGUGGGGAAUUUUGGACAAUGGGCGCAAGCCUGAUCCAGCCAUGCCGCGUGCAGGAUGAAGGCCUUCGGUUGUAACUGCUUUUGUACGGACGAAAGACUCUUUCUAAUAAAGAAGGGUCCGAUGACGGUACCGUAAGAAUAAGACACCGGCUAACUACGUGCCAGCAGCCGG
rnacentral:rRNA from 1 species